GAUGAACGCUGGCGGCGUGCCUAAUACAUGCAAGUCGAGCGCAGAGACCCGGACCUUUCUCCGCUGGGGUGAGCGGCGGACGGGUGAGUAACACGUGGGUAACCUGCCUAUAAGUCUGGGAUAACUUCGGGAAACGGGAGCUAAUACCGGAUAAUAUAUUGAACCGCAUGGUGCGAUGGUGGAAGGCGGUGUUGCGGUGAGUGAUAGAUGGGCCCUCGCCGCCUUAGCUAGUUGGGAAGGUGACGGCUGACCAAGGCAACGAUGCGUGGCCGGCCUGGGAGGUGGGUCGGCGACCCUGGACCUGAGACACGGUCCAGGGUCCUACGGGAGGCAGCAGUAGGGAGUGUUGCGCAUAGGGCGAAGGCCUGACGCAGCAAGCCCGCGCGAGUGAUGAAGGUCUUCGGAUUGUAAGACGCUGUUCUUUGUCACGAACAACUGUGUCGGUAACGAGGGUUGUCGUGACGGUACCUAAUCAGAAAGCCCCGGCUAACUACGUG
rnacentral:rRNA from 1 species